rnacentral:lncRNA from 1 species
GACCAGUGUCCGAGUCCUCCAGCAGAGCGCCUGCUGUCCACGGCAAGGACUUGAUCUGUGGUCAGUCCUAUGUCCCUCGAACCUCCUGGAGUACCUGGUGUACAGCUGGCAUUCAGACGGCAUUUGCUGAAUGAAUGGACCAUCCCAGUGUACAAGAUAUAGAGCGAUCUCUGAGAUAUUAAAUGGAGAAAACAAGGUUCUGAAUGAGUGCUGUUCCAGAUCCCGUGGAAAAAAAGCAUCUGCGGGACAGUGGUGGCUUAUUACAAUCAAGUGUCUCGGAGAAUAACCCACGGAGCGGACCAGACACUCACCGAAGACAGCACGCCAUGAUUGUUACCAGGUGGCAGGACCUACUGAGAUCCAUUCACACUAUGUAAGUCUGGGUUUCAGUCCCAGCCCAGCACCUUCAGGACAUUCC